rnacentral:rRNA from 1 species
UACGUAGGGUGCGAGCGUUAAUCGGAAUUACUGGGCGUAAAGCGUGCGCAGGCGGUUAUGUAAGCCAGAUGUGAAAUCCCCGGGCUCAACCUGGGAAUGGCAUUUGGGACUGCAUGGCUAGAGUAUGGCAGAGGAGACUAGAAUUCCUGGUGUAGCAGUGAAAUGCGUAGAUAUCAGGAGGAAUACCGAUGGCGAAGGCAGGUCUCUGGGUCAAUACUGACGCUCAUGCACGAAAGCGUGGGGAGCAAACAGG